rnacentral:lncRNA from 1 species
GGGAGCCAGGCCUGGUUGGCCUUUGAAGGGCAGGCCUUCCUGGGGUGGACACUUUAAUCGCCCCCAAUUAAACCAUUGCCGGAAGCUUUUAACAGCCCCAUACGGCCUUUCAAGGACUGUCCUUUUGUUAGACAGCCAAGCUGUUAUGCAAAAAGAGAGCGGGCUGGGGGCCUCUGACCACUCACCCCAGGCCCCAAGGCCAGCCUGCCCCAAACUCCGGGCCAGCCUCUAAAGAGUCUGCUUGUUUGCGAAUCAAAGGCUGGGGAACCAGCUUUGAUCUGGGGAAACCCAGCCCUUCCCCGCCUUUCCAGCCUCAGUCCCCUCUCUGAGGGGGGUGGGGUGGGGGGAGCCUUUGACUAGGCCUUCACCCCCAUACAUUCUGGGUCUGGGGCCAACCAGGCUGAUCCCUGGGGUCCUGGGAGCCUGUCCCUUCCUUCAAGAAACGGGUCUGCUGGGACAGUAAGAACUUUCCGUGCUCCCCCUGCCCCCCCCUCAGGCAAGGAAGCCCUGGCCCGCCUCCUAUAGCUGCCCAGCGGUCUUCUAGGCCUUUUGACAGAGUGGAGGAGUCCUCAGAGGGGUGCCGCCUGGGACUCUGUGCGAAAUGCAGAUUCUCAGGCCCCAACCCUGACCCGGGAGGCGAAGUCUGAAAACUACUGCUGUAGCACUUCGAGUAUUUCUCCUCCUCUCGGCCUCUCCUCUCCCACUUCCCCUCAACAAAAAAAGGCAAGAUUAGUGUACAAGUAACAUUAGCCAUAAUAAGUUAUGGACAACAUAACUCUCUGCUUGCUAAACCCUCUAUAGCAUAUCAUUUCUAAAAAGUGAACAACAAAGCCCUUUCUGUAAAUAGCAGCUUCUGGACGACCCUGAAUGGCAGGCUUCCAUUUGGUCGUUUGGUUAACAUCAAAACCUGCCCGCCCCCUCCCUGCGGGAGCUCCCGCCCGUCGUGGCUCAGCGGAGAGAAUCCGACUGGGAACCAUGAGGUUGCAGGUUCGAUCCCUGGCCUCACUCAGUGGGUUAAGGAUCCAGUGUUGCCGUGAGCUGUGUUGUAGGUCGUAGGCAUGGCUUGGAUCCUGCAUUGCUGUGCUGUGGUGUAGGCUGGCAGCUGUAGCUCCGAUUUGACUCCCUCGCCUGGGAAACUCCAUAUGCCACGGGUGUGGCCCUAAAAAGGCAAAAAGCACAAAAAACCCCUUCCCCCCUGAUUUCCACAUCUGCUCCCUCAUUUCAUCCUCAGAACUGCCAGAGGGAGACAAGCAUCCCCAUUAUACAGACGAGGAAACUGAAGUGCAGGAAGGUUUGUGGACUGGCCUGCGAUGGCUGCAGAGUUAGAGGGGGAAACUCAGGAAACCCCACUCAGCGUCUCCCUCCCUCCUCUCAGGUCCAGCGGGGCUGCCACCUGCAGCUGUGAAGCUGUGAGGUGCAUGCACUGCGCAAAAGCACCCGACCCUGGGGGUGGGAGUUGGGGCUAAGAGUUCCCACUCCACUCCCCAAGGGUGUCCUGGUGGGCGCUGGAGGAAGGGGAGCCUUUUUCUGUCACACAAAAGCCCCAUUCAGGCAAGCAAAAGCCUGGAGCUUCCAGAAUUCCCCAUUUUCCCUCCACCUCCUCUUCCUCCUCCUCCUCACAAAAGCUGCAGGUCAUCAAGCACCUACUACGUGCCAGCCUUCAUUCAGGCUCAGCGCUUUCUUUCUAGAUCCCACUUAGUCGCCAGGACAGCUCUCAGUCUUAUUCUUCUGGAUAAGACCCAAUUCUUCUGCUUCUUUCCUUGAAGCUGGUUCCUUGAAAACCAAACAAGAGGCAGAGCGCACUCCAGAUGAGUCAGAGCCUGUCUGGACAAAGGUCUCCCACUGCCCCCCCUGGGUGAACAGCCUGGCUCAGCCUGGGGGACGCCAGGAGGGGUUGGUUUAGAAUUUUUUCGUCCUUCUCAGGUGUUGAAACUUCAGUCCCAUCUGGGGCAAAUCUUUUUUUUUUUUUUUUUUUGUCUUUUGUCUUUUUAAGGCUGCACCAGUGACAUAUGGAGGUUCCCAGGCUAGGGGUCCAAUCGGAGCUGCAGCUGCCAGCCUAUGCCACAGCCACAGCAAUGCAGGAUCUGAGCUGCGCCUGUGACCUACAACCACAGCUCACCGCAACGCUGGAUCCUUAACCCACUGAACAAGGCCAGGGAUCGAACCCACAACCUCACGGUUCCUAGUCGGGGUCGUUUCCGCUGUGCCACGACGGGAACUUCUGGUGCACAUCUUUAGUACCUGGAAGUCCAAAGGGGGCUAAAAUCUAUUUUGUUUUCCCUCUGAGAUCCUACAGUGGGCUCAGCACCCAGAGAAAGACAGCAGCCUGUCAAGGCAGGCAGGGUGUUCAGAACUCCGUGGAGCUGUGGCUCAUCAAUGGUGCCUUUCGGAGCAGGGGUCGGCAAAGGUCUUCUGUGAAGGGCCAAAUGGGAACCCUUGUAGGCUGGUCCCUGUCACUACGACUCAGCUCUGCCACUGUAGUUCACGAAAAAGCCAUCAAAGAGAUCUAAAUGAAUGGGUGUUGGUGUGCGCCAAGAAAACUUUAUUAAGGGAGUUCCCUGGUGGUCUAGUGGUUAGGACUCAGUGCUUUUACCGCUGCAGCCUGGGUUCAAUCCCUGGUCUGGGAACUGAGAUCCCACAUCAAGCUGCUGCAUGCCAUGAUGAAAACAACCACCACACCACCAUGUCCAAUAAAACGUUAUUAAUGGACACUGAAAUGUUAGUUUCCUGUGAUUUUCACAUGUGCCAAAAUCUUAUGUUUCUUUUGAUCCCCCCCCGCCCCCGGUCAUGUGAAAACCAUUUUUAGCUCUCAAGCUGUAGAAAAACAGAUAGUGGGCAGAAUUUGGCCUUCAGGCCCAUAUAGUUUGCUGGCUCCUGGUUUAGAGCAAAGGUUUUGAGGUCGGUUGUCAGUCUUGAAUUUAAGUCUCGGUUAUUUCACUAACCAGCUAGGUAAUCUGGGGGACGUUACGGAACCUCGCUGAGCCUGUGUCUUCCCUUUCAAUGGGGUUGCCUCGUCUGUCUUUCAGGGAGUGGGCAUGUGGGAGCACUUACCAGCCUCGGUGACUGACAGGAGGCAGGAACGCCCUAAAUGUGAGCCUAGAGCUUUGCAGCAGGCUGGUUGGAGGUCAGUGCGAGCAGGCUAUGAGGCUGGAGAGGUCAGGAGACCCUUCCGGGAGGGAGGAAGUCUGGGGUAAGUUGGGCCUUGAGUGCCUUGAGAGGUGCAGCGAUAGAGGAGGGGAAAGAUGGAGAGGUCAAGCCAAAGAAAUUCUCCUUAACGUCAUUAAAAAGUCUACAAACAAAUGCUGGAGAGGGUGGGGAGAAAAGGCAAUCCUUCUACACUGCUGGCAGGAAUGUAAAUUGGUGUGGCCACUAUAGAGAACAGGACGGAGGGUUCCUUAAAACACUAAAAAUAACAUUGCCAUAGGAUCUAGCAAUCCCACUCCUGGACAUAUAUCCAGAAAAUGCUAAUUUGAAAUGAUACAUGCAUCUCAAUGUUCACUGCAGCACUAUUUACAAUAGCCAAGACAUGGAAGCAACCUCCAUGUCCACCAACAGGGGACUGGACAGAGAAGAUGUAAUAUAUCUGUAUAUAUCACAUAAUAUAUUUGCAGCAACAUGAGUGGACCUAGACAUUAUCAUACUAAGUGGAGUAAGUCAGAAAGAGAAAGACAAAUACUAUUGAUAUCACUUAUUUGUAGGAUCUAAAAUAUGACACAAAUGAACCUGUUUACCAAACGGAAACAAAUUCACAGACAGGAAACAAACUUACAGUAACCAAAGGGGAAAGGGGAUGAGGGAGGGAGAUAUUAGGAGUUUGAGAUAAUAUAUAACUUGGAUACACAACAGAGUCCUACUGUAUAGCACAGGGAACUAUACUCAAUAUCCUGUAAUAAACCGUAGCGGAAAAUAAUAUGAAAAAGAAUAUAUGCAAAAAAUAAAAAA